UCUGCGUGUUCACAGCGGACCUUGAUUUAAUGUCUAUACAAUUAAGGCACGCGGUGAAUGCCAAGAGAGGCGCCUCCGCCGCUCCU
ensembl:miRNA microRNA 124a-3